rnacentral:rRNA from 1 species
AUUGAACGCUGGCGGCGUGCCUAACACAUGCAAGUCGAGCGGUAACAGGUGUAGCAAUACAUGCUGACGAGCGGCGGACGGGUGAGUAACGCUUGGGAAUCUGCCUGUUAGUGGGGGACAACCCGGGGAAACGUCGGGCUAAUACCGCAUACGCACUACGGUGGAAAGCCGGGGACCGCAAGGCCUGGCGCUAACAGAUGAGCCCAAGUCGGAUUAGCUAGUUGGUAGGGUAACGGCCACCAAGGCGACGAUCCGUAACUGGUCUGAGAGGACGACCAGUCACACCGGAACUGAGACACGGUCCGGACUCCUACGGGAGGCAGCAGUGGGGAAUAUUGGACAAUGGGCGAAAGACCUGAUCCAGCGACGCCGCGUGGGUGAAGAA